rnacentral:rRNA from 1 species
GACGAACGCUGGCGGCGUGCUUAACACAUGCAAGUCGAACGGAAAGGCCCUGCUUGCAGGGUACUCGAGUGGCGAACGGGUGAGUAACACGUGGGUGAUCUGCCCUGCACUUCGGGAUAAGCCUGGUAAACUGGGUCUAAUACCGGAUAGGAGCCAUUUUUAGUGUGAUGGUUGGAAAGUUUUUUCGGUGUAGGAUGAGCUCGCGGCCUAUCAGCUUGUUGGUGGGGUAAUGGCCUACCAAGGCGGCGACGGGUAGCCGGCCUGAGAGGGUGGACGGCCACAUUGGGACUGAGAGACGGCCCAGACUCCUACGGGAGGCAGCAGGGGGGAAGAUUGCACAAUGGGCGCAAGCCUGAUGCAGCGACGCCGCGGGGGGGAUGACGGCCUUCGGGUUGUAAACUCCUUUCGCUAGGGACGAAGCUUUUUGUGACGGUACCUAGAUAAGAAGCACCGGCUAACUACGUG